rnacentral:rRNA from 1 species
AAUCAACGCUGGCGGCGUGCCUCAGACAUGCAAGUCGAACGCGAAAGGUUCCUUCGGGAGCCGAGUAGAGUGGCGCUCGGGUGAGUAACACGUAGGUAAUUUGCCUUUGGGUGGGGAAUAACAAUCGGAAACGGUUGCUAAUACCGCAUAAUGCAGCGGCUCGACAUCGAGACAGUUGUUAAAGCGGGGGAUCCUUCGGGACCGUCGCGCCUAAAGAGAAGCCUGCGGCGGAUUAGCAGUUGGUGAGGUAAUGGCUCACCAAGGCGACGAUCCGUAACCGGCCUGAGAGGGCGGACGGUC